CCCCCAANCGAGCGAAUCGAUGGGAGCUUGCUCCCUGAGAUUAGCGGCGGACGGGUGAGUAACACGUGGGCAACCUGCCUAUAAGACUGGGAUAACUUCGGGAAACCGGAGCUAAUACCGGAUACGUUCUUUUCUCGCAUGAGAGAAGAUGGAAAGACGGUUUACGCUGUCACUUAUAGAUGGGCCCGCGGCGCAUUAGCUAGUUGGUGAGGUAAUGGCUCACCAAGGCGACGAUGCGUAGCCGACCUGAGAGGGUGAUCGGCCACACUGGGACUGAGACACGGCCCAGACUCCUACGGGAGGCAGCAGUAGGGAAUCUUCCGCAAUGGACGAAAGUCUGACGGAGCAACGCCGCGUGAACGAAGAAGGCCUUCGGGUCGUAAAGUUCUGUUGUUAGGGAAGAACAAGUACCAGAGUAACUGCUGGUACCUUGACGGUACCUAACCAGAAAGCCACGGCUAACUACGUGCCAGCAGCCGCGGAAUACGAGGGC
rnacentral:rRNA from 1 species